rnacentral:rRNA from 1 species
AAACCAGGAUUAGAUACCCUAUUAUAUUUAAACAAAUUGGGUAGUAUUAUUAAUAAAAACCUUUAUACUUUGGCGGCAUUUUAUCUUAUUAGAGGAAUAUGUUCAUUAAUCGAAACCACACGAUAGUUUUUACUUACUAUAAAAUUUUAUAUACCCCCGUCUAAAGAAUUUAUUUAAAAUUUUUAUUCCAAAUUAUAUUAAAAAAAGUUAGGUAAAGGUGUAGACUAUUAGUAAGAUUAAAUGUAUUACAUUAAAAAAAAAUUUAAGGAUAAAACAGUUAACUGUUUAUUAAAAGAGGAUUUAUAAGUAAUUUACUUUUAAUAAAAAUUAAUGAAUAAGAAAAUAAAUGUGCACAUAUCGCCCGUCACUCUCACAUAUAAACCAGGAUUAGAUACCCUAUUAUACAUAUCGCCCGUCACUCUCA